rnacentral:rRNA from 1 species
UUGUCGAAUUCCUGCAAAAGCAGACCGUGAACAAGUUAAACCAAAUUGGGACCGCGGGUCUUUGGGAGACCUUUUUCUCGCGCCCAUCUCUAGCAUGGUGUGCGUUUAGGCGUGCGUGGGGCGGGCUAACGAACCCCGGCGUGGCAAGCGCCAAGGAAAACUCAUAGAUGCGUCAGACUCCCUUCGCCCCGUUCGCGGUGUGCGGUGAGUUUACUGAUCACUCUCCAAUGUCAUAACGACUCUCGGCAACGGAUAUCUCGGCUCUCGCAUCGAUGAAGAACGUAGCGAAAUGCGAUACUUGGUGUGAAUUGCAGAAUCCCGUGAACCAUCGAGUCUUUGAACGCAAGUUGCGCCCGAAGCCAUUCGGCCGAGGGCACGUCUGCCUGGGGGUCACGCAUCGCGUCGCCUCCCACACCCACGCCCCAAGGGCUGACCGGGUGGUGGGGGCGGAAAUUGGCCCCCCGUGCGAUUUCCGCGCGGUCGGCCUAAAUGCGAACCCGUGGCGACUCAUGUCACGACCAGUGGUGGUUGUACAUUCAACUCUCGUGCUGUCUGUCGUGUCAUUUGAGUUGGCCGUCGGGCUUCAAUGCAGGCCCAAUGGCGCGAUCUUAUCGCACCUUCGACCGCGACCCCA